rnacentral:rRNA from 1 species
GAUGAACGCUGGCGGCGUGCCUAAUACAUGCAAGUCGAGCGAACGGACGAGAAGCUUGCUUCUCUGAUGUUAGCGGCGGACGGGUGAGUAACACGUGGAUAACCUACCUAUAAGACUGGGAUAACUUCGGGAAACCGGAGCUAAUACCGGAUAAUAUUUUGAACCGCAUGGUUCAAAAGUGAAAGACGGUCUUGCUGUCACUUAUAGAUGGAUCCGCGCUGCAUUAGCUAGUUGGUAAGGUAACGGCUUACCAAGGCAACGAUGCAUAGCCGACCUGAGAGGGUGAUCGGCCACACUGGAACUGAGACACGGUCCAGACUCCUACGGGAGGCAGCAGUAGGGAAUCUUCCGCAAUGGGCGAAAGCCUGAAGGAGAAACGCCGCGUGAGUGAUGAAGGUCUUCGGAUCGUAAAACUCUGUUAUUAGGGAAGAACAUAUGUGUAAGUAACUGUGCACAUCUUGACGGUACCUAAUCAGAAAGCCACGGCUAACUACGUG